AGGAAAAGAAAUCAACCGAGAUUCCCCCAGUAGCGGCGAGCGAACGGGGAGGAGCCCAGAGCCUGAAUCAGUGUGUGUGUUAGUGGAAGCGUCUGGAAAGGCGCGCGAUACAGGGUGACAGCCCCGUACACAAAAAUGCACAUACUGUGAGCUCGAUGAGUAGGGCGGGACACGUGGUAUCCUGUCUGAAUAUGGGGGGACCAUCCUCCAAGGCUAAAUACUCCUGACUGACCGAUAGUGAACCAGUACCGUGAGGGAAAGGCGAAAAGAACCCCGGCGAGGGGAGUGAAAAAGAACCUGAAACCGUGUACGUACAAGCAGUGGGAGCCUCUUAAUGGGGUGACUGCGUACCUUUUGUAUAAUGGGUCAGCGACUUAUAUUCUGUAGCAAGGUUAACCGAAUAGGGGAGCCGAAGGGAAACCGAGUCUUAACUGGGCGUUAAGUUGCAGGGUAUAGACCCGAAACCCGGUGAUCUAGCCAUGGGCAGGUUGAAGGUUGGGUAACACUAACUGGAGGACCGAACCGACUAAUGUUGAAAAAUUAGCGGAUGACUUGUGGCUGGGGGUGAAAGGCCAAUCAAACCGGGAGAUAGCUGGUUCUCCCCGAAAGCUAUUUAGGUAGCGCCUCGUGAAUUCAUCUCCGGGGGUAGAGCACUGUUUCGGCAAGGGGGUCAUCCCGACUUACCAACCCGAUGCAAACUGCGAAUACCGGAGAAUGUUAUCACGGGAGACACACGGCGGGUGCUAACGUCCGUCGUGAAGAGGGAAACAACCCAGACCGCCAGCUAAGGUCCCAAAGUCAUGGUUAAGUGGGAAACGAUGUGGGAAGGCCCAGACAGCCAGGAUGUUGGCUUAGAAGCAGCCAUCAUUUAAAGAAAGCGUAAUAGCUCACUGGUCGAGUCGGCCUGCGCGGAAGAUGUAACGGGGCUAAACCAUGCACCGAAGCUGCGGCAGCGACACUAUGUGUUGUUGGGUAGGGGAGCGUUCUGUAAGCCUGUGAAGGUGUACUGUGAGGUAUGCUGGAGGUAUCAGAAGUGCGAAUGCUGACAUAAGUAACGAUAAAGCGGGUGAAAAGCCCGCUCGCCGGAAGACCAAGGGUUCCUGUCCAACGUUAAUCGGGGCAGGGUGAGUCGACCCCUAAGGCGAGGCCGAAAGGCGUAGUCGAUGGGAAACAGGUUAAUAUUCCUGUACUUGGUGUUACUGCGAAGGGGGGACGGAGAAGGCUAUGUUGGCCGGGCGACGGUUGUCCCGGUUUAAGCGUGUAGGCUGGUUUUCCAGGCAAAUCCGGAAAAUCAAGGCUGAGGCGUGAUGACGAGGCACUACGGUGCUGAAGCGACAAAUGCCCUGCUUCCAGGAAAAGCCUCUAAGCAUCAGGUAACAUCAAAUCGUACCCCAAACCGACACAGGUGGUCAGGUAGAGAAUACCAAGGCGCUUGAGAGAACUCGGGUGAAGGAACUAGGCAAAAUGGUGCCGUAACUUCGGGAGAAGGCACGCUGAUAUGUAGGUGAAGCGACUUGCUCGUGGAGCUGAAAUCAGUCGAAGAUACCAGCUGGCUGCAACUGUUUAUUAAAAACACAGCACUGUGCAAACACGAAAGUGGACGUAUACGGUGUGACGCCUGCCCGGUGCCGGAAGGUUAAUUGAUGGGGUUAGCGGUAACGCGAAGCUCUUGAUCGAAGCCCCGGUAAACGGCGGCCGUAACUAUAACGGUCCUAAGGUAGCGAAAUUCCUUGUCGGGUAAGUUCCGACCUGCACGAAUGGCGUAAUGAUGGCCAGGCUGUCUCCACCCGAGACUCAGUGAAAUUGAACUCGCUGUGAAGAUGCAGUGUACCCGCGGCAAGACGGAAAGACCCCGUGAACCUUUACUAUAGCUUGACACUGAACAUUGAGCCUUGAUGUGUAGGAUAGGUGGGAGGCUUUGAAGUGUGGACGCCAGUCUGCAUGGAGCCGACCUUGAAAUACCACCCUUUAAUGUUUGAUGUUCUAACGUGGGCCCCUUACCGGGGUUGCGGACAGUGUCUGGUGGGUAGUUUGACUGGGGCGGUCUCCUCCUAAAGAGUAACGGAGGAGCACGAAGGUUGGCUAAUCCUGGUCGGACAUCAGGAGGUUAGUGCAAUGGCAUAAGCCAGCUUGACUGCGAGCGUGACGGCGCGAGCAGGUGCGAAAGCAGGUCAUAGUGAUCCGGUGGUUCUGAAUGGAAGGGCCAUCGCUCAACGGAUAAAAGGUACUCCGGGGAUAACAGGCUGAUACCGCCCAAGAGUUCAUAUCGACGGCGGUGUUUGGCACCUCGAUGUCGGCUCAUCACAUCCUGGGGCUGAAGUAGGUCCCAAGGGUAUGGCUGUUCGCCAUUUAAAGUGGUACGCGAGCUGGGUUUAGAACGUCGUGAGACAGUUCGGUCCCUAUCUGCCGUGGGCGCUGGAGAACUGAGGGGGGCUGCUCCUAGUACGAGAGGACCGGAGUGGACGCAUCACUGGUGUUCGGGUUGUCAUGCCAAUGGCACUGCCCGGUAGCUAAAUGCGGAAGAGAUAAGUGCUGAAAGCAUCUAAGCACGAAACUUGCCCCGAGAUGAGUUCUCCCUGACUCCUUGAGAGUCCUGAAGGAACGUUGAAGACGACGACGUUGAUAGGCCGGGUGUGUAAGCGCAGCGAUGCGUUGAGCUAACCGGUACUAAUGAACCGUGAGGCUUAACCUUACAACGCCGAAG
rnacentral:rRNA from 1 species